GACGAACGCUGGCGGCGUGCUUAACACAUGCAAGUCGAGCGGUAAGGCCCUUUCGGGGUACGACGAGCGGCGAACGGGUGAGUAACACGUGGGUGACCUGCCCUCCAGCUCUGGGAGUAAGCCUGGGAAACCGGGUACUAAUACCGGAUAUGACUCCAUGACGCAUGUUGGUGGGGUGGAAAGCCUUGUGCGGCUGAGGAUGGGCCCGCGGCCUAUCAGCUUGUUGGUGGGGUGAGGCCUACCAAGGCGACGACGGGUAGCCGGCCUGAGAGGGCGACCGGCCACACUGGGACUGAGGCACGGCCC
rnacentral:rRNA from 1 species